UUAUGGAAUACUUAAUAAUACUUGGUAUGUUCAGGUCCUUUGGAUUAUUUUUUGUGGAAUAUCAGAAGAAAUUCUUAGCAACAUCGUCUGUAAUUUCUACGGUUCUCUCUGUUCAAACAAUUAUAGCAAGCGUUUUAUCAAUUGUUGUCAUGGGAAUCGGAACAAAAUACUUUGGUGAACGGUCCUUGAUAAUUGGUGCUGCACUGUUUGGGCUCGCCUCCAGUGUAGGCAAUGCAUUUGCCCCUCGGCCUUCGGUAUUGUUCUUCACCCAAAGUACUUUAUUUGCUUUAACAGCAGUGACGGCGCAUACUCCAUCCACUUUGAUACUCGGUAAAUACUUCGAGAAACGUAGAGGGAUGGCUAAUGCGAUUGCAAAUGUCGGUGGGAGCAUAGGAGGAUUGGCUUUACCCCCUUUAUUUGCUUAUUUAUUUGAAAUUUAUGG